GGAGGUAUGGCUCAGUGGUAGAGUAUCUGCCUGCAAAGUGGGAGGCCCUGAGUUCAAACCUCAGUAUUGCCA